AGCCGCCUACGGGGCGCAGCAGUGGGGAAUAUUGGACAAUGGGGGGAACCCUGAUCCAGCGACGCCGCGUGAGUGAAGAAGUAUUUCGGUAUGUAAAGCUCUAUCAGCAGGGAAGAAAAUGACGGUACCUGACUAAGAAGCCCCGGCUAACUACGUGCCAGCAGCCGCGGUAAUACGUAGGGGGCAAGCGUUAUCCGGAAUUACUGGGUGUAAAGGGAGCGUAGACAGCUGUGCAAGUCUGGAGUGAAAGGCGGGGGCCCAACCCCCGGACUGCUCUGGAAACUGUAUGGCUGGAGGGCAGGAGG
rnacentral:rRNA from 1 species